GCUUAGCAUUGCUUACCUAUGGCUAAUGUAAAUAACAGAUGGCCAACUCCUCCCAGUUGUGUUAGCCCAUGGGGAAUACCGUGAGCUACAUAUGACAGCCAACCACACUUCCUAGCAGAAGAAACAGUGACCUUGGCUGAGUUUAUUCAAGCAGGAGGUGCUGAGAGAUAUCGAUGAAACUGUGGAAGUCUCUUUGUCUUAUGUUCGUCAUCAUCAGAAUGCACUGAUUUUCUAGCCUAUUUGAUAUAUUUCUUUUAUCUGUUAUAGCUGACAAACUUACUGAUUUCUUACUAAUAAACCAUUACAUUAA
rnacentral:lncRNA from 1 species